UGCAGUCGACGAUGAAGCCAGCUUGCUGGUGGAUUAGUGGCGAACGGGUGAGUAACACGUGGGUGAUCUGCCCCAAACUUUGGGAUAAGCCUGGGAAACUGGGUCUAAUACCGAAUAUGACCAACUUCUGCAUGGGGGUUGGUGGAAAGCUCCGGCGGUUUGGGAUGGGCCCGCGGCCUAUCAGCUUGUUGGUGGGGUAAUGGCCUACCAAGGCGACGACCGGUAGCCGGCCUGAGAGGGCGACCGGCCACACUGGGACUGAGACACGGCCCAGACUCCUACGGGAGGCAGCAGUGGGGAAUAUUGCACAAUGGGCGCAAGCCUGAUGCAGCGACGCCGCGUGAGGGAUGACGGCCUUCGGGUUGUAAACCUCUUUCACCAGGGACGAAGCGAAAGUGACGGUACCUGGAGAAGAAGCACCGGCCAACUACGUGCCAGCAGCCGCGGUAAUACGUAGGGUGCGAGCGUUGUCCGGAAUUACUGGGCGUAAAGAGUUCGUAGGCGGUUUGUCGCGUCGUUCGUGAAAACUUGGGGCUUAACUCCAAGCGUGCGGGCGAUACGGGCAGACUUGAGUACUACAGGGGAAACUGGAAUUCCUGGUGUAGCGGUGAAAUGCGCAGAUAUCAGGAGGAACACCGGUGGCGAAGGCGGGUCUCUGGGUAGUAACUGACGCUGAGGAACGAAAGCGUGGGUAGCGAACAGGAUUAGAUACCCUGGUAGUCCACGCUGUAAACGGUGGGUACUAGGUGUGGGUUCCUUUUCACGGGGAUCCGUGCCGUAGCUAACGCAUUA
rnacentral:rRNA from 1 species